GAUGAAGAACGCAGCGAACUGCGAUAAGUAAUGUGAAUUGCAGAAUUCAGUGAAUCAUCGAGUCUUUGAACGCACAUUGCGCCCCCUGGCAUUCCGGGGGGCAUGCCUGUCCGAGCGUCAUUGCUGCCCUUCAAGCCCGGCUUGUGUGUUGGGUCGUCGUCCCCCCCGGGGGACGGGCCCGAAAGGCAGCGGCGGCACCGCGUCCGGUCCUCGAGCGUAUGGGGCUUUGUCACCCGCUCGAUUAGGGCCGGCCGGGCGCCAGCCGGCGUCUCCAACCUUCUAUUUUACCUGGUUGACCUCGGAUCAGGUAGGGAUACCCGCUGAACUUAAGCAUAUCAAUAAGCGGAGGA
rnacentral:misc_RNA from 1 species